rnacentral:rRNA from 1 species
UUAAGCGACUAAGCGUACACGGUGGAUGCCCUGGCAGUCAGAGGCGAUGAAGGACGUGCUAAUCUGCGAAAAGCGUCGGUAAGGUGAUAUGAACCGUUACAGCCGGCGAUGUCCGAAUGGGGAAACCCAGUGCAAUUCGUUGCACUAUCGUUAACUGAAUACAUAGGUUAACGAGGCGAACCGGGGGAACUGAAACAUCUAAGUACCCCGAGGAAAAGAAAUCAACCGAGAUUCCCCCAGUAGCGGCGAGCGAACGGGGAGCAGCCCAGAGUCUGAAUCAGCUUGUGUGUUAGUGGAACGGUCUGGAAAGUCCGACGGUACAGGGUGAUAGUCCCGUACACCAAAAUGCACAGGUUGUGAACUCGAAGAGUAGGGCGGGACACGUGGUAUCCUGUCUGAAUAUGGGGGGACCAUCCUCCAAGGCUAAAUACUCCUGACUGACCGAUAGUGAACCAGUACCGUGAGGGAAAGGCGAAAAGAACCCCGGCGAGGGGAGUGAAAAAGAACCUGAAACCGUGUACGUACAAGCAGUGGGAGCACCUUCGGGUGUGACUGCGUACCUUUUGUAUAAUGGGUCAGCGACUUAUAUUCUGUAGCAAGGUUAACCGUAUAGGGGAGCCGCAGGGAAACCGAGUCUUAACUGGGCGUUAAGUUGCAGGGUAUAGACCCGAAACCCGGUGAUCUAGCCAUGGGCAGGUUGAAGGUUGGGUAACACUAACUGGAGGACCGAACCGACUAAUGUUGAAAAAUUAGCGGAUGACUUGUGGCUGGGGGUGAAAGGCCAAUCAAACCGGGAGAUAGCUGGUUCUCCCCGAAAGCUAUUUAGGUAGCGCCUCGUGAAUUCAUCUUCGGGGGUAGAGCACUGUUUCGGCUAGGGGGUCAUCCCGACUUACCAACCCGAUGCAAACUACGAAUACCGAAGAAUGUUAUCACGGGAGACACACGGCGGGUGCUAACGUCCGUCGUGAAGAGGGAAACAACCCAGACCGCCAGCUAAGGUCCCAAAGUCAUGGUUAAGUGGGAAACGAUGUGGGAAGGCACAGACAGCCAGGAUGUUGGCUUAGAAGCAGCCAUCAUUUAAAGAAAGCGUAAUAGCUCACUGGUCGAGUCGGCCUGCGCGGAAGAUGUAACGGGGCUAAACCAUGCACCGAAGCUGCGGCAGCGACACUAUGUGUUGUUGGGUAGGGGAGCGUUCUGUAAGCCUGCGAAGGUGACCUGUGAGGGUUGCUGGAGGUAUCAGAAGUGCGAAUGCUGACAUAAGUAACGAUAAAGCGGGUGAAAAGCCCGCUCGCCGGAAGACCAAGGGUUCCUGUCCAACGUUAAUCGGGGCAGGGUGAGUCGACCCCUAAGGCGAGGCCGAAAGGCGUAGUCGAUGGGAAACAGGUUAAUAUUCCUGUACUUGGUGUUACUGCGAAGGGGGGACGGAGAAGGCUAUGUUAGCCGGGCGACGGUUGUCCCGGUUUAAGCAUGUAGGCUGGUUGUCCAGGCAAAUCCGGAUAAUCAAGGCUGAGGUGUGAUGACGAGGCACUACGGUGCUGAAGUAACAAAUGCCCUGCUUCCAGGAAAAGCCUCUAAGCAUCAGGUAACAUUAAAUCGUACCCCAAACCGACACAGGUGGUCAGGUAGAGAAUACCAAGGCGCUUGAGAGAACUCGGGUGAAGGAACUAGGCAAAAUGGUGCCGUAACUUCGGGAGAAGGCACGCUGGUGUGUAGGUGAAGUCCCUGCGGAUGGAGCUGAGACCAGUCGAAGAUACCAGCUGGCUGCAACUGUUUAUUAAAAACACAGCACUGUGCAAACACGAAAGUGGACGUAUACGGUGUGACGCCUGCCCGGUGCCGGAAGGUUAAUUGAUGGGGUUAUCCGUAAGGAGAAGCUCUUGAUCGAAGCCCCGGUAAACGGCGGCCGUAACUAUAACGGUCCUAAGGUAGCGAAAUUCCUUGUCGGGUAAGUUCCGACCUGCACGAAUGGCGUAAUGAUGGCCAGGCUGUCUCCACCCGAGACUCAGUGAAAUUGAACUCGCUGUGAAGAUGCAGUGUACCCGCGGCAAGACGGAAAGACCCCGUGAACCUUUACUAUAGCUUGACACUGAACAUUGAGCCUUGAUGUGUAGGAUAGGUGGGAGGCUUUGAAGCGUGGACGCCAGUCUGCGUGGAGCCAACCUUGAAAUACCACCCUUUAAUGUUUGAUGUUCUAACGUUGGCCCCUUACCGGGGUUGCGGACAGUGUCUGGUGGGUAGUUUGACUGGGGCGGUCUCCUCCCAAAGCGUAACGGAGGAGCACGAAGGUUAGCUAAUCCUGGUCGGACAUCAGGAGGUUAGUGCAAUGGCAUAAGCUAGCUUGACUGCGAGCGUGACGGCGCGAGCAGGUGCGAAAGCAGGUCAUAGUGAUCCGGUGGUUCUGAAUGGAAGGGCCAUCGCUCAACGGAUAAAAGGUACUCCGGGGAUAACAGGCUGAUACCGCCCAAGAGUUCAUAUCGACGGCGGUGUUUGGCACCUCGAUGUCGGCUCAUCACAUCCUGGGGCUGAAGUAGGUCCCAAGGGUAUGGCUGUUCGCCAUUUAAAGUGGUACGCGAGCUGGGUUUAGAACGUCGUGAGACAGUUCGGUCCCUAUCUGCCGUGGGCGCUGGAGAAUUGAGGGGGGCUGCUCCUAGUACGAGAGGACCGGAGUGGACGCAUCACUGGUGUUCGGGUUGUCAUGCCAAUGGCACUGCCCGGUAGCUAAAUGCGGAAGAGAUAAGUGCUGAAAGCAUCUAAGCACGAAACUUGCCCCGAGAUGAGUUCUCCCUGAGACUUUAAGUCUCCUGAAGGAACGUUAAAGACGAUGACGUUGAUAGGCCGGGUGUGUAAGCGCAGCGAUGCGUUGAGCUAACCGGUACUAAUGAACCGUGAGGCUUAACCUU